GCCGCGAGUCCUCGGCUGACCUCGGAAGGGUUGCUUUGCAGUGCAGCAGAGUGAGGCCCCCUGACUUCAUCGCGGGAGACUUUGGUGGGGGCGCCUCAGGAUCUCCAUAGCAUGGGGGAGGUUCCCUGAACAGGUGGCGUCCUGACCUCCCGCGGGAGCGUCCCGCGCUCUCCCCAUCUCUUGGUCCUUGGUGGGCUCCUUUACUUCUUUAUCUCCCUCCCCGCGAUGCCCGACUCCCAGCAGGAGUAUAGAUAUUCCAGAAACAAGAAAGCCCAGAUCCUGGCUUCUAAGUUUCAUUUUCCACUAAAAGCAAGCAGAUUCUUUGAGGAGUGGCUGAUCCCACGGCUGAGACUGGGAAGUGCAAGUCAAGCCUGCAACAUCUGAUUGCACCAGGAAUUAAAGAGCUUAAUGCCAGGCAUGGUGGGCAUGCCUUGUAAUCCUAGAGACUCUGGAGGCUGAGUCAGGAGGAUCACAAGUUCUAGGUCUUUUGGUUAUAGCCAUGAAAAGCUGACCAAACAGAUGCCCUUUUCAUGUAAAUUUCAGUGCUCAAGUCAAAGCCAGACAAGAACAUGGAAUCCAAAGCAGUCAUGACCUCUUUUUCUGCCACUUGCCUGAGAACUUAACCUUUCACCUGGAGAUGCCAACAGAUACCAGGCCAAGGUGCCCAGGACAAAGACUUUGGAGGACAGGUGCAAAUGGAAUUCCUUUUGUCUCCUGCAGUCUAGCCACGAAGUUGGGAGGAUGGACACUUGGUGUAUUUAACAAGCAUCCAAACAACUAGGGAACAUCCAAGUCAGAGUCAGAGCUGAAGGGAAUCUUAGCUCACCUCCUUUUUUGAUAUAUGGGUAAACAGAGGCCAGUGACCUUGGUGGCUUUCUUGAGAUCACCCAACUGACACUCGAUGCUGAUGAACCUGGUUUUCUGGCUCCCAAGCCACUGUUUGCUCCCUGAUACCAUGGCACCUUUGUAUACAUUCCUGACACUGCCCCAGUGCUUCAGCCAGCCUCUCAUGGCGCAUCACAGCUUCCACCACCUGUGCUGACCUGCCUGAGCAGCUUCCAGGACUGUCCCACAAGGGCAAAUGAUUAAUGCACUUGUAAACUGACUGAUCUGCAAACAUGACCAUGGGCCUGUGGAAUGAGUGAGUGGCUUCUACAUUUGGUCACCCAGGAGCCCUUCCUUAUGCUGGGCAGAUGAAAUUAAAAACAAACAAACAAA